rnacentral:tmRNA from 1 species
UGCCUUCAAAAACGCUUCGGAAGCGCCUAUAUAGGGUUUGUCGGGAAACCGACUAUGGCGAUAAACGCCGCGUGGCAUAAGCGUUUCGGACCCGGGGGCAGUACCCGGCGCCUCCACCAUUUCCCUCCACCCAUGGGAGUAUCCCGGACGGUGGAGUCGAUGGGGGCGAACCAGGAUCGACGAGCGUGGUAAAGGCGCGGUUUUUGCCCGGUAUGGUUCCGCCGUGACGGGCCAUUCACAAGUGCUAACGAUAACACCGUUACACUCGCUGCUGCCGCCUAAACAGCGGACGUAAGCGCGGUCCGGGGGGCACCGGGCAACAGAAGCCCCCCACU